UACGUAGGGGGCAAGCGUUUGUCCGGAUUUAUUGGGCGUAAAGAGCGUGUAGGCGGCCUGGAAGGUCAGCUGUGAAACUCGAGGCUACAACCUCGAGACGUCGGUUGAAACCACCUGGCUAGAGUCCGGAAGAGGAGAGUGGAAUUCCCGGUGUAGCGGUGAAAUGCGUUGAUAUCCUAAGGAACACCGGUGGCGAAGGCGGCUUACUGGGUCUCUACUGACGCUGAUGCACGAAAGCCAGGGUAGCGAACGGG
rnacentral:rRNA from 1 species